rnacentral:rRNA from 1 species
AUUGAACGCUGGCGGCAUGCCUUACACAUGCAAGUCGAACGGUAACGCGGGGCAACCUGGCGACGAGUGGCGCACGGGUGAGUAAUGCAUCGGAACGUGCCCAGUAGUGGGGGAUAGCCCGGCGAAAGCCGGAUUAAUACCGCAUACGACCUACGGGCGAAAGCGGGGGACCGUUAGGGCUCGCGCUCUUGGAGCGGCCGAUGUCAGAUUAGGUUGUUGGUGGGGUAAAAGCCUACCAAGCCGACGAUCUGUAGCUGGUCUGAGAGGACGACCAGCCACACUGGGACCGAGACACGGCCCAGACUCCUACGGGAGGCAGCAGUGGGGAAUUUUGGACAAUGGGGGCAACCCUGAUCCAGCCAUGCCGCGUGCGGGAAGAAGGCCUUCGGGUUGUAAACCGCUUUUGUCAGGGAAGAAACGCUCUGGGCUAAUACCCCGGGGUAAUGACGGUACCUGAAGAAUAAGCACCGGCUAACUACGUGCCAGCCGCCGCAGUAAUAC